GAUGAAGAACGUAGUGAAAUGCGAUAAGUAAUGUGAAUUGCAGAAUUCAGUGAAUCAUCGAAUCUUUGAACGCACAUUGCGCCCGCCAGUAUUCUGGCGGGCAUGCCUGUUCGAGCGUCAUUACAACCCUCAGGCCCCCGGGCCUGGCGUUGGGGAUCGGCGGAGCCCCCCGUGGGCACACGCCGUCCCCCAAAUGCAGUGGCGGUCCCGCCGCAGCUUCCAUCGCGUAGUAGCUAACACCUCGCGACUGGAGAGCGGCGCGGCCACGCCGUAAAACACCCAACUCUUCUGAAGUUGACCUCGAAUCAGGUAGGAAUACCCGCUGAACUUAAGCAUAUCAAUAAGCGGAGA
rnacentral:misc_RNA from 1 species